rnacentral:rRNA from 1 species
GUUGUAUGGUUAAGUGACUAAGCGUACAUGGUGGAUGCCUUGGCAGUCAGAGGCGAUGAAGGACGUACUAACCUGCGAUAAGCUGUGAGAAGUCGGUAAGAGACGCUAUUACUCACAGAUUUCCGAAUGGGGAAACCCACCCAAGAUAACUUGGGUAUCGUUGCAUGAAUACAUAGUGCAACGAGGCGAACCGGGAGAACUGAAACAUCUAAGUACCCCGAGGAAAAGAAAUCAACCGAGAUUCCCUCAGUAGCGGCGAGCGAACGGGGAUUAGCCCUUAAGUUUCUUGGAAGUUAGUGGAAUGGUUCUGGAAAGGCCAGCGAUACAGGGUGAUAGCCCCGUACAUGAAAACGACCUUGAAGUGAAAUCGAGUAGGGCGGGACACGUGACAUCCUGUCUGAAUAUGGGGGGACCAUCCUCCAAGGCUAAAUACUCCUGACUGACCGAUAGUGAACCAGUACCGUGAGGGAAAGGCGAAAAGAACCCCUGUGAGGGGAGUGAAAUAGAACCUGAAACCGUGUACGUACAAGCAGUGGGAGCCCUUCGGGGUGACUGCGUACCUUUUGUAUAAUGGGUCAGCG